UACGUAGGGUGCGAGCGUUAAUCGGAAUGACUGGGCGUAAAGGGUGCGUAGGCGGUUUGCUAAGACGGAUGUGAAAUCCCUGGGCUCAACCUAGGAACAGCAUACGUGACUGGCAGGCUAGAGUAUCGAAGAGGGGGGUAGAAUUCCACGUGUAGCAGUGAAAUGCGUAGAGAUGUGGAGGAAUACCGAUAGCGAAGGCAGCCCCCUGGUCAGAUACUGACGCUGAGGCACGAAAGCGUGGGGAGCAAACAGG
rnacentral:rRNA from 1 species